CGCAGAAGCCCUUGUCUUCGUUCUUAGCUCCGCCGCUCUGUUGAGCUUAGGUUAAACCCAGUUUCUGCCGUCAAACUGCAAAGCAUAGACCUACUUUGAUGGAUUUCAUCAAUGAAAAAUUGAGACUUGGAAAACAAUUCCGAUACUGACAUGCCGACACUAGUAAUAAUUAAAUAAUAAUAAACACAAUGAUAAGUAUCGGUGCAGGUGUCCGACUCAGACAUGGUCGUUGCUACAUAGGAUUUAAUGUCCAAGAGAUUAGAAUAAGCAUGAAUGCAUUGGUUUAUUUUCCAAGAGAUCAGAAGAAGCGUGUAUGUAGUGACUAAGGCGAUCUUUCUAUAGUUAGAUAGUAUUAUUAGACUUAUUUAUUUUUCCUGCAACUUAUUGAAUUAUUGUUUUUAUUUUGUUUGUUGAGAAGAUUUAUAUAUUUUAACAUUUUUGUGUC